rnacentral:tRNA from 1 species
GCCGCAAUAGCUCAGUUGGUAGAGCAGUUGAUUUGUAAUUAAACGUUCUAUCGAGUUUUGCGAUA